rnacentral:rRNA from 1 species
AUUGAACGCUGGCGGCAUGCUUUACACAUGCAAGUCGAGCGGAUGAGGGAAGCUUGCUUCCCGAUUUAGCGGCGGACGGGUGAGUAAUGCCUAGGAAUCUGCCUAUUAGUGGGGGAUAACGUUCCGAAAGGAACGCUAAUACCGCAUACGUCCUACGGGAGAAAGUGGGGGACCUUCGGGCCUCGCGCGAUUGGAGCGGCCGAUGUCAGAUUAGGUAGUUGGUGGGGUAAAGGCUCACCAAGCCAACGAUCUGUAGCUGGUCUGAGAGGACGACCAGCCACACUGGGACUGAGACACGGCCCAGACUCCUACGGGAGGCAGCAGUGGGGAAUAUUGGACAAUGGGCGGAAGCCUGAUCCAGCCAUGCCGCGUGUGUGAAGAAGGCCUUUUGGUUGUAAAGCACUUUAAGCGAGGAGGAGGCUCUUAAGGUUAAUACCCUUGAUGAGUGGACGUUACUCGCAGAAUAAGCACCGGCUAACUCUGUGCCAGCAGCCGCCGUAAUAC